AGCCCAGACUCCUACGGGAGGCAGCAGUGGGGAAUAUUGCACAAUGGGGGAAACCCUGAUGCAGCGACGCCGCGUGAGCGAUGAAGUAUUUCGGUAUGUAAAGCUCUAUCAGCAGGGAAGAAAAUGACGGUACCUGACUAAGAAGCCCCGGCUAACUACGUGCCAGCAGCCGCGGUAAUACGUAGGGGGCAAGCGUUAUCCGGAUUUACUGGGUGUAAAGGGAGCGUAGACGGCGGUGCAAGCCAGAUGUGAAAGCCCGGGGCUCAACCCCGGGACUGCAUUUGGAACUGUGCUGCUAGAGUGUCGGAGAGGCAGGCGGAAUUCCUAGUGUAGCGGUGAAAUGCGUAGAUAUUAGGAGGAACACCAGUGGCGAAGGCGGCCUGCUGGACGAUGACUGACGUUGAGGCUCGAAAGCGUGGGGAGCAAACAGGAUUAGAUACCCCCGUA
rnacentral:rRNA from 1 species